UUGAAGUUAAGUGGUUUCUAGCUGUACAGGUACAAAAGAAUAUGGAAAAAUUGGUUUCUAAUAUGUAAAAAUUUAAUGUUAUAAUAUAUCAAGAUUAAAGAUUAGGAUUAAAAAGGAGGGAAAGGAAUUGUUGGAUUAACAAAUUGAAUUGGAAUACAAAAGAGGGAGGUAUGAGGAGGUCCGGGAAACAAGUAAAUGUAAAAGAAGUGAUGAAAAGAUGGAAUUGUUUUUAACUGUUUUUUCUUUUUUCUACUUUGUAUUUUUCCUUUUUAUUGUUAAUCUUUUUAUUAAUGUGAUUUUUCUUCUUUUGAAACUUUAAUAAAUAUUAUUU